GGGGAUUUAGCUCAGUGGUAGAGUGCUUGCUUAGCAAGCGCGAGGCCCUGGGUUCGGUCCCCAGCUCCG
rnacentral:tRNA from 1 species